AGUCGUAACAAGGUCUCCGUAGGUGAACCUGCGGAGGGAUCAUUACACAAAUAUGAAGGCGGGCUGGAACCUCUCGGGGUUACAGCCUUGCUGAAUUAUUCACCCUUGUCUUUUGCGUACUUCUUGUUUCCUUGGUGGGUUCGCCCACCACUAGGACAAACAUAAACCUUUUGUAAUUGCAAUCAGCGUCAGUAACAAAUUAAUAAUUACAACUUUCAACAACGGAUCUCUUGGUUCUGGCAUCGAUGAAGAACGCAGCGAAAUGCGAUAAGUAGUGUGAAUUGCAGAAUUCAGUGAAUCAUCGAAUCUUUGAACGCACAUUGCGCCCUUUGGUAUUCCAAAGGGCAUGCCUGUUCGAGCGUCAUUUGUACCCUCAAGCUUUGCUUGGUGUUGGGCGUCUUGUCUCUGGCUUUGCUGGAGACUCGCCUUAAAGUAAUUGGCAGCCGGCCUACUGGUUUCGGAGCGCAGCACAAGUCGCACUCUCUAUCAGCAAAGGUCUAGCAUCCAUUAAGCCUUUUUUUUCAACUUUUGACCUCGGAUCAGGUAGGGAUACCCGCUGAACUUAAGCAUAUCAAUAGAAGUAAAAGUCG
rnacentral:rRNA from 1 species